UUUUGCCCCGCAGACUGCGUGGGUCUUUCCUCACAGUGUGGAACUUCUGACACUGGGCAGCCGUCCCAAAUACAUAAGGCCCCUACCCUGCUCAGCCCAGUCUGCCAAGCUCCAACUCUGGUUUGAUGUUCCUCCAAAAUCCAACAGGAAUAAGGAGUUCCUUCUUCUUAAAGCUGAGCAAGAACAUACAGGACCAACUCUCUACCCCUUCUCAAUCAUGAGUUGACAUGAUGAAAGAAACUAAAAUUAUUAGGCUGUUCUAGUGUCAUCUUUACUUUUCCCCCUACAAAAAAACAUGUUUAUGGGGAGUUACAACUGUAGGCUCCAGUGAAGAAGCAUUCCAUCCUCUAUUGCCUCAGCACUGAUGAGACACUGUGCUCACUAUUUGUAUUAUUGUCAAAAACAAUUACUUCAACAUGCUCAAGUUUCAAAUGUGAGUGAAUAACUGUAUAUCAUCAUGAAGCCAUACCCCAGACAAACUGUAGACAUCAUUGUUUCCAUUGUAUUCAAUCUUUUUUUUUUUUUUUUUUA